rnacentral:rRNA from 1 species
UACAGAGGGUGCGAGCGUUGUUCGGAAUUACUGGGCGUAAAGCGCGCGCAGGCGGCUCUCUAAGUCUACGGGUGAAAGACCGGGGCUCAACCCCGUGUCAGCCCGGGAUACUGGGGAGCUAGGGACAUGUAGGGGCGAGCGGAAUUCCGGGUGUAGCGGUGGAAUGCGUAGAGAUCCGGAAGAACACCGGGGGCGAAGGCGGCUCGCUGGGCAUGGUCCGACGCUGAGGUGCGAAAGCCAGGGGAGCAAACGGG